rnacentral:rRNA from 1 species
GACGAACGCUGGCGGCGCGCCUAACACAUGCAAGUCGAACGGAGCUGAGAGAAGCUUGCUUUUCUUAGCUUAGUGGCGAACGGGUGAGUAACGCGUGAGUAACCUGCCCUGGAGUGGGGGACAACAGUUGGGAACGACUGCUAAUACCGCAUAAGCCCACGAUCCGGCAUCGGGUUGAGGGAGAGGGAUUUAUUCGCUUCAGGAUGGACUCGCGUCCAAUUAGCUAGUUGGUGAGGUAACGGCCAACCAAGGCGACGAGUGGUAGCCGGACUGAGAGGUUGAACGGCCACAUUGGGACUGAGACACGGCCCAGACUCCUACGGGAGGCAGCAGUGGGGGAUAUUGCACAAUGGGGGAAACCCUGAUGCAGCGACGCCGCGUGGAGGAAGAAGGUUUUCGGAUUGUAAACUCCUGUCGUUAGGGACGAUAAUGACGGUACCUAACAAGAAAGCACCGGCUAACUACGUG